GACGAACGCUGGCGGCGUGCCCAAUACAUGCAAGUCGAACGCAGUGGGGACGGGUGAGUAACACGUGGGUAACCUCCCAUCAGAGGGGAUAACACUUGGAAACAGGUGCUAAACCGAUACUGAUGGAUGAACCCGCGGUGCAUUCGCUAGUUGGGGAGGUAACGGCCUACCAAGGCCACGAUGCAUAGACGAACUGUGAGGGUGAUCGGCCACACUGGGACUGGGACACGGCCCAGACUCAUACGGGAGGCAGCAGUAGGGAAUCUUCGGCAAUGGACGAAAGUCUGACCGAGCAACGCCGAGUGAGUGAAGAAGGUUUUCGGAUCGUAAAACUCUGUUGUUAGAGAAGCGGUAUCUAACGAGAAAGCCACGGCUAACUACGUGCCAGCAGCCGCGGUAAUUG
rnacentral:rRNA from 1 species